rnacentral:rRNA from 1 species
GAUGAACGCUGGCGGCGUGCCUAAUACAUGCAAGUCGAGCGAACAGACGAGGAGCUUGCUCCUCUGACGUUAGCGGCGGACGGGUGAGUAACACGUGGAUAACCUACCUAUAAGACUGGGAUAACUUCGGGAAACCGGAGCUAAUACCGGAUAAUAUAUUGAACCGCAUGGUUCAAUAGUGAAAGACGGUUUUGCUGUCACUUAUAGAUGGAUCCGCGCCGCAUUAGCUAGUUGGUAAGGUAACGGCUUACCAAGGCAACGAUGCGUAGCCGACCUGAGAGAGUGAUCGGCCACACUGGAACUGAGACACGGUCCAGACUCCUACGGGAGGCAGCAGUAGGGAAUCUUCCGCAAUGGGCGAAAGCUUGACGGAGCAACGCUGCGUGAGUGAUGAAGGUCUUCGGAUCGUAAAACUCUGUUAUUAGGGAAGAACAAAUGUGUAAGUAACUAUGCACGUCUUGACGGUACCUAAUCAGAAAGCCACGGCUAACUACGUG